UAAUAAACCAGCUCUUGUCCUACAGUCCAGGUAGGGGCGCUGACUCUGUAACUGUGGUUCCAGUAACUCCAGAGAAGUGGAGAAGCAGAGAAUCCAUCCAGAGCUGUUUUAUGGAGAGACUACCUACUAUCUAUAGAUUCCAGUUAUAUCAGAAAAUUACUGAUUACCACUAGAGGGAGCCCGCGCGCAAGCAGAAAAUGAAUGGGGAUGAAUGGAUCUAAACGGCUAAAAAUACAUAUGGAAGCGAGUAACUAAUUUAGGAUUAGGUAUUGUGCUAAACAUACAAAGAAAACGUACAUAUAAACGUACAUAUUAUUGUAUGCUUGCUUUUCUACAGCAAACAGGUUUAUACAGUAAAGGAGCUAUCAUCACUGCUACAGUGUGCAUUGAGACUGGCCGGUGAGCUGGAGUGUUGGAGUUACAGAAAGACCCUGUGGUCCAGCUCUGAUCUGCAGUCCAGACAUCUGUGUUCAGACUUUUCUCCUUUGGAGGAAGCAUCAGAAGAAAUAUAUAAAAAAAAAAAAACACUGUUAAAGAACUGAAGGCCAUCCACUUCCAACUCAUCGUCUGCUUUUAGUAUCAAGUAUACUUUGUGGAUUAACUUUAUCUUUACAAAAACACUUAAUUAGGCAGUUUCUGAAAGAUGUUGAGC
rnacentral:lncRNA from 1 species